rnacentral:tRNA from 2 species
GGUGAGGUGGCUGAGUGGUCGAAAGCUCUGGUCUUGAAAACCAGCGAACGUGCAAGCGUUCCGUGGGUUCGAAUCCCACCCUCACCGCCA